rnacentral:rRNA from 1 species
AUUGAACGCUGGCGGCAUGCCUUACACAUGCAAGUCGAACGGCAGCACGGGAGCAAUCCUGGUGGCGAGUGGCGAACGGGUGAGUAAUAUAUCGGAACGUGCCCAGUCGUGGGGAUAACGUAGCGAAAGCUACGCUAAUACCGCAUACGAUCUAUGGAUGAAAGCGGGGGAUCGCAAGACCUCGCGCGAUUGGAGCGGCCGAUAUCAGAUUAGGUAGUUGGUGAGGUAAAGGCUCACCAAGCCGACGAUCUGUAGCUGGUCUGAGAGGACGACCAGCCACACUGGGACUGAGACACGGCCCAGACUCCUACGGGAGGCAGCAGUGGGGAAUUUUGGACAAGUGGGCGCAAGCCUGAUCCAGCAAUGCCGCGUGC